UACGUAGGUGGCGAGCGUUGUCCGGAUUUACUGGGCGUAAAGGGAGCGUAGGCGGACUUUUAAGUGAGAUGUGAGAUACUCGGGCUCAACUUGAGUGCUGCAUUUCAAACUGGAAGUCUAGAGUGCAGGAGAGGAGAAUGGAAUUCCUAGUGUAGCGGUGAAAUGCGUAGAGAUUAGGAAGAACACCAGUGGCGAAGGCGAUUCUCUGGACUGAAACUGACGCUGAGGCUCGAAAGCGUGGGGAGCAAACAGG
rnacentral:rRNA from 1 species